UCCCUUUCUCCCAUAGUCAAGGUCUGGAUACGUCCUUGAUUCAGCAGAGAUAACUCUGUGCUGUUAGUUUUAAUAUUAAACUGUAUUGACCUAUUAUCAAACUUAAAAGGUAAAAUCAUAAUACAUGCUCGCACUCACUCUUUGAGUGUGCUAAAGCCAAACCAAUAUACAAAAAGACAAUGAGAGACCAUUUUUGGCUGAGACAGUGUGAUAUUAACAUUUUACAAAUUUCUGGUGGAUGAAUGGAUUCACAAUGGAGAUAAGCCUCAAGCUUUGCCUUAUUUGCUCUUAUAGUCCUUUCAAAUAUUAAAUAUAUAUAAUAAAUUAAUAGCAUAACAUUAUAAUCUGUUCAGAGGGAGGGCAACG